UUAAGCCCACAUGAAAGAGUAAUCCCGAUUUUACAACGUAAACCGUAUAGGUACGUACGGUGCGUCCGUUCGACGGAAAAAGGCGCACAAACGGAACCGAAAUGUGUAACGAAGAAUAAUUUGCAGAGCAGCACCGCACCAGCGCACACUGUUGCGGAUGGCAUAAAAACGUGAUCGAAAUUAUUUUGACCAUGAAAACAUGAUUUUUGAUCUUUGGUGUCUUCGGCAAAGUUUUUCUAUAAAAUAAGCCCUAAUUUAUGGAAACAUCAGUUUUGUGAUCAACCCCCCUAAAAGUGAGAAACGAUUUCUAUCUUUUUUAUUUGUAAACUAAAAAAAUAUGUUUGUUCAGAGAAGUUGUAGACAAUUUUACUAGAAACAACUUUGCUGAACAUACAAAAUUUCUAUCUUUUGAUUUGUAUGUACAUUUGAGGCGUUUUUUAUGAAGCACCCCUAAAAAUCAGUUUUUUGCUUAUAACUUUUUCUACGCAUUUUUCACAAUUUCUAAAUGUUCUAGCAAAUGUUUUGCCUUAUCAAAACGCGUAACUUUUGCGAAGAAAGUAUAUAUCUAUCUCUCAUAUUUAUCAUGUUAUUGGAAAUUUCACUUAAAAAAAUGCUUAUGUUUGACAUACCCAUUUGUUAACUUUCGCACGUUUUCGCAGGCCAGCAUUUUCACAUUUGAAAAUAUGGAACGAGUUUUAUCCGUUGCAAAUAUAGCCAGUUUUAGCCUGAUUUCGCCUGUAUAUUAAAAUUCACAUACUAGAAAUGACUAUCAUUAUAAAAUGUGUCAUUGUAAAACGAUCAACAUAUCAAAAAAUGUACUCAGUGCUUUUCUUACAUGAUUUUCCCACAUGAACACCCAAAAACGUUUUCACAGAAUCACUUGGAACUGCAUCAGAUGACUUUCCCAUACAAUUUAAGUUUUUUUUUUUUCAGAUAAACAGUAGUGGUUCUCAAAGUAACACGAUAAGUCUCUUCCACAUAAUAAACGAUAUUGUUUAAUGCUCAUAAAAUUUUUCGUGUCCAUGUACUCUUUGCAGAAAUGCUAAUUUUCAGAAUGUUCAAAUAACAACAUCUAAUGAUUCGUUUAAAGUUGGUUUUCAAUUUGUUUACUUGAAAAAUAUAACUUAUCUGUUAUUAUUAACACAUAUCAUUGAUUAACGUCAUCACUAAUUCCAUUGCUUCCAUUUACUAUCUCGUCAUAUGUUUAGAGCAAAUGGUUUUUCGCAUCCUACGUUUAUGAUGUUAUAGUUAUUUUUUCGGAAAUAGUCCAAUAUUGUUGUAAGCAGUCGAUGUAAAAGAUCUGUGUUGGUUUGGAUUCUUGUAAACUUACGUGUAUUAUCCUCUCUGUAAUUCCUGAUGUCUUUGUUGCGUGACUUUUGUGCUUCCUCGGGCAGAAAAAAAACUUAUAUACAGUAACUGGAACAAUACAUUUAAUGAUGUCAGUAAUCAAAGAUAUGUGUUAAUAUUAACAGAUAAGUUAUAUUUUUCAAGUUAACAAAUUAAAAAUCAAUUUUAAUCAAAACAUUAGUUGCUGUUAUUUGAACCUUCUGAAAUUUAACAUUUUCGCAAAGUGUACAUGAACACGAAACAUUUUAUGAGCAUUGGCAAGAGCACAAUAUCGUUUAUUAUGUGGAAGAGACUUAUCGUACUCUUUUGAGAGCCACUGUUUAUCUGAAAAAAAAACUUAAAUUGUGUGGGAAAGUCAUCUGAUGCUGUUCCAAGUGAUUCUGUGAAAACGUUUUUGCGUGUUCAUGAGGGAAAAUCGUGUAAGAAAAGCACUGAGUACAUUUUUUGAUAUGUUGAUCGUUUUACAAUGAUACAUUUUAUAAUAAUAGUCAUUUCUAGUAUGUGAAUUUUAAUAUACAGGCGAAAUCAGGCUAAAACUGGCUAUAUUUGCAACGGAUAAAACUCGUUCCAUAUUUUCAAAUGUGAAAAUGCUGGCCUGCGAAAACGUGCGAAAGUUAACAAAUGGGUAUGUCAAACAUAAGCAUUUUUUUAAGUGAAAUUUCCAAUAACAUGAUAAAUAUGAGAGAUAGAUAUAUACUUUCUUCGCAAAAGUUACGCGUUUUGAUAAGGCAAAACAUUUGCUAGAACAUUUGGAAAUUGUGAAAAAUGCGUAGAAAAAGCUAUAAGCAAAAAACUGAUUUUUAGGGGUGCUUCAUAAAAAACGCCUCAAAUGUACAUACAAAUCAAAAGAUAGAAAUUUUGUAUGUUCAGCAAAGUUGUUUCUAGUAAAAUUGUCUACAACUUCUCUGAACAAACAUAUUUUUUUAGUUUACAAAUAAAAAAGAUAGAAAUCGUUUCUCACUUUUAGGGGGAUUGAUCACAAAACUGAUGUUUCCAUAAAUUAGGGCUUAUUUUAUAGAAAAACUUUGCCGAAGACACCAAAGAUCAAAAAUCAUGUUUUCAUGAUCAAAACAAUUUCGAUCACGUUUUUGGGCCAUCCGCAACAGUGUGCAGCGGCCCCAAACGGAACGGACAAUAAUUCGUGAGGGAAGGCUAGCCCAGGCCAGUCAGCCAGCCAGCCAGCACUACAAUGGAUUACGCCGCGUAAUGAGGUGGUGUAAAUAUGGUUAAUGAUUCAUCAAAAUUAGCUAAUGCGAUCCGUUUUUCUCGGUUCACGCCCGCCUGUGGAACUUUGCGCCCGGUUGUGGUCGGUAGGUAUAUGGAUGGACCUCUAUUGGGAAUAUAAACGUUGCUUUUAUUGGAGGGAUUUUUUUUUCUGGGAAUUUGGUAGAGUUCGUGCGGUACAUGUUUCAAAUUGGGUGACCUUAAACGCUUUCUUAUGGGGUUCUGAAAGUUUCUGCUUGGAAAUUGGUGUGGAGUGGAUAACCCAUAUAGCAAAAUUUUCAGUUUUGGGCGAGAAAACUGCUUUUGAGUUGUCAUAGAAUUCCUCUCAGUAUUCUUCCUGAGAUUUCUUCAAGUACUCUUCUAAGUAUUCACACGGGAUUGCUCCAUUGAUUUCUCAUGAUUUUCAACGUCUUCUAGGUUUCCGUCAAGGAUUUCUUCAGGGAUUUGUUUAUUGAUUUUGCUUGAGAAUCUUUCACACUUUACCGACAUUUUCAGGGGAUUCUUUUUGAGAUUAUUUCCGGUAAUUUCUCCCGGGAUUCCUUCAGGAAUUCUGACAAGGAUUCCUCCGGUUUUUUUUUCUGGAAAUCCGUUAGGAAUUUCUCUUAGAAUUCUUCCAUUGAUUUCUUUUUUUCCUUCCUUUAGGGAGAAUAUUUUCAGGAUUUCUUCAGAAAUAUUUUCCGGCAAAUCCAUCAGGAAUUCUUCCCGGGAUUCCAUAUAUGAUGUCUCCCGGAAUUUUUACAGUGAUUUCUCAUUUAAUUCCUUUAGAAAAUUCUUUCUAGAUUCCUUACGGUAUUUUUACGGAUUAUUCUUGAGAUUCCAUCAGGAAUUCUCCGUGGAUGCUUCCUGGGUUUUAUCCCGAGAUUCCUUUAGGGAUUUUCUCGGUAUUAAUUCCUACAUUCACACAGGUAUUCCUACGGAGAUUCAUUGAAUGAUCCUUUUGGGGAUUCUUCUUGGCUUUUUAAAGGAAUUCCUACAUUGCACAGUGGUCCACGAAACAGAUUUACGAGGAAAGAUGCAUUCAGCGCCUUCAAAUGAUUUUCUAGAUUAAUAUGGUCUUCUACAAAGUUGUUCCUGAAAUUAAGGCCCUCUUUUCAAUAUACAUGAAAAUUCUUCGGGAUAUUGUAGAUCUAUCAGUUUUGAGCAAGUUGGCUGAAGACACUUUUUAUGUACCUUUAAAAUUGACCGAUCCAGAGGUAUUUUUCUGAAUAGGCUAGGGUGGUUCAAGAAAAACCGGUUUUUUGGCGUUAACUUUUUCAGUUUCGAUUUUUCAUCAAAGUCGCCCAGGAAACACACCAUUUGAAGACGCGUCGUUUCGUGCGCUGAGAUGGUCGUUAUUUCUUUUGGUUCAAAAGUUACAGGCAUUUUUCUUGAAAAAUCAUAGUUUUUUAAAAACGUUUUAUGACGGGUUGGGCAAACAAAAAAAUAUCUUUUGCCCGCAUUCAAAAGAACAAAUGUUGUUAUAAGACAUAUCAAAAAAUUUGAGGAGUGUUAUAUUUGUAACUCAAGUGAAAAAUACUUGAAAAGUGCCUAUUGUUUCUAGAAAAUCAUUGAUAUCUUUUGAACGGAUUGACGUAGCAACAUUCUCAGCGCACGAAAAUGUGCGUUUUUUAAAGCUCUAAAAAUGAUUCUUAACCUUCCGUAACUCGCGCGGUUGACUACCUGCGUCAGCAUCACGCUAAUGCUGAGUACAAAAAGCGAGAUUUUUUCAACGUGUUGUACAAAAUACAACAGCGCGAUCGCUCGAGGGUUAAACUUCACCAAAUUUGGAGCAUUUUCCUAUAGUUUUCAUAGGGUGACGCUAGAACAAAUCGUUUUAUUGCUUUAUCUUUUUUGUUUCAAAUUUCUCGUCAAAGUCGCCUAAGAACCACUUUUAGAGCUUCCAAAAACGCGCAUUUUCGUGCGCUAAGAAUGUUGCUACGUCAAUCCGUUCAAAAGAUAUCAAUGAUUUUCUAGAAACAAUAGGCACUUUUCAAGUAUUUUUCACUUGAGUUACAAAUAUAACACUCCUCUAAUUUUUUUGAUAUGUCUUAUAACAACAUUUGUUCUUUUGAAUGCUUGCAAAAGAUAUUUUUAUUUGUUUGCCCCAACCCAUCAUAAACCCUUUUUAGAAAACUAUGACUUUUAAGGAAAAACGCCUGUAACUUUUGAACCAAAAGAGAUAACGACCAUCUCAGUGCACGAAACGACGCGUCUUCAAAUGCUCUACAAGUGUUUCUUGGGCGAUUUUGAUAAAAAUUGAAACUGAAAUAGUUAACGCCAGAAAACCGGUUUUUCUUGAACCACCCUAAGCUUAUUCAGAAAAAUACCUCUAGAUCGGUAAAUUUCAAAGCUACAUAAAAUGUGUCUUCAGCAAACUUGCUCAAAAUUGAUAGAUCUACAACUUUCCCGAAGAAUGUAUACAGUUAUUCUUGCAAAUAAAAAAGUAUGGUUACCAACUUCUUUGAAAAUAUGGACCACCCUGAUUUUCAUGCAUAUUUUAAAGAGUGCCUUAUUAUUAGGGACAACUUCGUGGAAACCCCUAUUUGCCUAAAAACUCAUUUGAUGGCGUUGAAUGCAUCUUUCCUCGUAAAUCUGGUUCGUGGACCACUGUGCAUUGGUUUCUUAGGGGUUUAGAAAUUUCUCCUGGGUGUUACUCAAGGAUUCCUUCACAGAUUCCAUCAAGAAGUCUUGCCUGGAUUCCUCCAGAGAUUCCCCCGCGAUUUCUUUAUUAAUUUCUCCUGAAAUUCUUAAAAGGAUUUUUCCGGAAUUUCAUUUAGCGAGAACCACCGGGAAUCCUCUCAGAAUUCUCGCCGCGAUUCCUUCAUGAAUCCUGCCCGAGUUUUCUAUAAGGAUUCCUCCAUAAAUUCUUUCCGGAAUUCCUCCCGGGAUUUAUUUGGGGAUUUCUACAGGAAAUUCUUCCGAAAUUCGUUCAAGGAUAUUUUCCGGAUCCCACCAAGGACUGCUUUCGGGAUUUUUACAAUGAUUCCUCCCGGGUUCACUUCCUCUAGGAUUCUUUCUGGGACUCCGGGAUUUUGAUUCUUCAGGACUGUCUUCAGGAAUUCCUUCCGGGAUUUCUUCAUUGAUUUUGCCUAAGAUUUCUUUGUAGAUUCCUUCUGAUAUACAUUUCAGGAUUGUUUCCGGCCCUUGUGGGAUUGCUUCUGAGAUUCGUUCAUUGAUUUCUCCCGAGAAAAACCCUUUAUGGCUUCUUAAGCCAAAGUUGGCUUAAGAGUGAUUUCUUCCACUCUUCUACAGCAUAAUUGUUUGUUGGGUAUUGCUUCUGAGAUUCCUUCGGGGAUUCCUCCAGGGAUUCCAAGAAUUCCAACACUAAUUCCGAUUGGGAAUCCUCCAGAAACUCUAGCAAUGCACCCUAUCAGGUAUUUCUCCUGGGGUUCCUUCAGGGAUUCCUCUAGGAUUGUUUCAGAAAUCUCUCUCGUGAUUCUUCCAGAGAUUCCUCCAGGAAAUUUAAUGGGAUUCUUUUGUGAUUCAUGCAUAGAUUACUCCUACAUUCUUUAAGGGAUUUCUGUCCUGGGUUUCUCCCGGGAUUCCUUCAGGGAUUUCUUCCGGGCUUGCUUCCGGAUUUCAUUCGAAAUUCUUUUGGGAAAUCUUUCCGAGAUGAUAUCUCCAGGAACCCUUUCAGGAUUCCUUCCUAAAUUUUCCCUGAGGUUCCUUCAGAGAUUCCACCAAGAUUCACUCAGAGAUCCUUCUUGAGAUUUUUUCAAGAAUUCUUCAGGAGAUUCUUUCAGGAAUUUCUCCAGAUAUUUUUUUUGGGAUUUCUGCGAGGAUUACUUCAUGUGGGUAUGGGUAUUUUCCAUAGUGGGGUCUCCAGUUAGUCUAGUGGUUAAGGCUAUGGAUCGUCAAUCCGGAGACAGAGGGUUCGAUUCCCGUUCCAGUCGGGAAAAUUUUCUCGACUUCCUGCGCAUAGUGUAUCAUUGUGCUUGCCUCACAAUAUACAAAUUCAUGCAAUGGCAGGCAAAGAAUGCCCUUCAAUUAAUAACUGUGGAAAUGCUCAAAGAACACUAAGUUGAAGCGAGGCAGGCCAAGUCAUAGUUGGGAAGAAGAAUAUGCUGCAAAGGCAGGAGAAUGACCGUAAAUCGAUCCAGACAUUCUGGUCUUGCUGAAUGAAAAAAAAAAAGUUUGAAUGAGAUCAAAUAAGUGAAACAUCUAAAGAAUCAACUAGGGACAAAUGGAGAACGUCACUUACUUGCUAUCUGGUAUCAUUCUGGGACAUUACAAAGUUUUACAUAAUAAGCUUCAUUAUACAACACUUUUCUGUUGCAUAAUGUGCACCAUUAUGCAACACUUUAAAAUUUGAUGAAAAACACUAUGCCACUAUGCCACACUAUCCAAUAGUAUAAACUAGUCCAUCAGGUCGUUUUCAGCGGUGGUCCAUUUUUUGGUCCAAAUUUAUAACAGUUCUAAAAAUUUGGAACCCCAAAAAUAGACCAAAUUAUGUUCAGUUCCACCGGUAUUUGUCCUCGGAGAUUAGUUAAAUUCACAAUCCUAGAAGUUUGUUGAGAAUUCUUCUAGGAGAUCCGUCAAGGAAGUUCCUUCGGAAAUUCCCCAGAAGUUUCUUAAAGAAUUCUCUGGAGAAAUCCUCCAGGAGUUCCUCCGGGAAUCCCUCCAAGAGUUCGUCCGAGAAUUGCUGCAGAAGUUCCUCCGUGAGCUGCAACAGAAGUUCAUCUGGGAAUUGUUCCAGGAGUUCCUUCGGAAAUACCUCCAGGAGUUCGUCCGGAAAUUGCUCCAGGAGUUCCUCUGGGAAUUACUCCAGGAGUUUUUUCCGGGAAUUACUCCAGGUCCUCUGGGAAUUACUCCAGGAGUUCCUCCAGGAAUUGCUACAGGAGUUCCUUCGGGAAUUACUCCAGGAGUUUUUCCGGGAAUGACUCCUGGAGUUCUUCGGAGUGUUGCUCCAGGAGUGCCUCCGAGAGCUGCUCCAGGAGUUCCUCUGAGAAUUUCUCCAUCAGUUCCUUCGGAAAUUUCUUCAAUAGUCCCUAUGUAAAAUCCUUGGUGAGUUCCUCCGGAAAUUGCUCAAGUAGCUUCUCCGGGAAUCCCUGCAGGGAUUCUUUCAGGAAUCCCUUCAAGAGGUUUCGUUGGAAAAUCAUUCAGAAGUUUCUCUGGGAGUUCCUCUACGAGUUUCUAGGAAAUUCCUCCAGUAUUUCUUCCGAAAAUUCUUUCAGCAUUUCCUUCGGAAAUUUCCUUAGGACUUCUUCCGAAAAUUGCUUCAAGAGUUGCUUCAGGAGUUUCUCUGUGAGUUCCUUCGGGAGCCCUUCUGGGAAUUCCUGCAGGAAUUCCUCCAGCAAUUCUUCUAGGAACUCCUGCAAGAAUUCCCCCGGCAAUAUUUCAGGAGUGCUUCAACAAUUCCUCCAAAUUUCUCCAGGAACUCCACCGUUUUUUCCGAAAAUUGCUCCAGGAGUUCGUCCUGGAAUUGCUCUAAGAUCGUGGUCACCAAAGUGCGGCCCGCGGGCCGCACGUGACGUCUAGUUCUCUAUGUUGCCGUAGAAUUCCUUACAAUAUUUGUUACGGAAGUGGUUCUACUCCCGAAAUACUCAAGAAUAACGUGUUGAAUAUUUCACAAAUCGGUCCAGAUGUUGCAAUACAAUCAGGAUCACUGCUCUAGGAGUUCCUCCCGGAAUCGCUUUAGGAAUUGCUCCGGAAUUUAUUUCAGGAGUUGCUCAGUGAGUAGAUCCAGGAGUUCCUCUGGGAAUUACUCCAGGUGUUUCUCCGAAAACUGCGCCAAGAGUUUUGUCGGGAAAUUUCCCCCAGUAUUUCCGCCGGCAAUGCUACCGGAAGGUCCUCCGGCUAUUACUCCAGGAGUUCCUCCGCAAAUUCUUCCUGCAGUUCCUUAUUCUCUAUGAAUUCCUCCGGAAGCCCUUCUGGGAAUUCCUCCUUGCAUUCCCCCAGCAUUUUUUCUAGGAAUUCCUGCGAGAAUUCCUCCAGGAGUUGCACCGGAAAUUCUUUCAAGGGGUACUUCGAAAAUUCCUUCUGGAGUUUCACCGGAAAUUUCCUCAGGUGUUUUUCCGAAACUUUUUCCAGGAGCUCCUCUGGGAGUUCUUCUGGCUUUCGUCAAGGAGUUCUUCUAUAUUUUCCUCCAGAAAUUCCUCCAAGAACUUUCUCAACAAUUUUUUAAGGAGUAUUUUCAGGAAUUCCUCCAGGAUUAUCUUUAGGAGUUCCUCCGUGGGUUACUCCAGAAGUUCCUCUGGGAAUUGCUACAGGAGAUUAUACGAGAACAACUCCAGGAGUUCAUGCGAGAUUUGUUCCAGGAGUGCUUCCGUUAGUUGCAGGAAUCACUAGGAGUUCCUCCAGAAAUUGCUCUAGGAUUUCCUCCGGGAAUUGCUCCAACAGGUUCUCCGUGAAUUGCUUCAGGAGUUCUUCUGGGAAUUGCUCCGUUAGUUCUUUCGGAAAUAACUCCAGGAAUUCCUUUGGUUCCUUUAGCAAUUCUUCUAGGAGUUGCUGCGUAGAAUCAUCCAUAAAUUCCUCCGAGAGUUUCUCCGGGAAUUUUCCAGAAGUUCCUUCGAUAAUUUCUCCGGAUUUUUUUUUUUUCAUAUGUUCCUCCGAGAGUUGCUCCGGGAAUUUUCCCUUUCUUUGAAGGUCAAACGUUUUUCAGAGCCCAUUAUAUAAAUCAUAAAUGAGGGGGUUAGAAGCAAAGGGGUGUAAGUGACAAAAACCCACUUUCGAGUAAAUGAGGUUUAAUGUUUUUGACCAAUUUUUCAUUCCAUACAAAAUGUAUGAAACUUAAAAAUGAACCCAAUUUUCUCUGAUUUAUUGUAAUUUUCCCAAUCAUCGUAGAAACAAUCUUUAAAAAGUUCCUGAAAGCUUGAAAUCUGUAGAAUUUUAUGAUAUGCUCAACUCAAAAUCGACAAAAUGGUCACUUACACCCCUUUGAUUCUGGGCCCCUCAAAUGUUCAAAAUUUCAUUGCAUUCGGUUUAUUGAAUCCGGAGGUAUAACAGUUCAAAGUUGGCUAUCGAAUAACUACCUUUUUCUAAAAUCUUUAUAACUUCUGGCAGCAAGGAUGGAAAUCUAGUGAUCAUGAUAAGAUCCCGAAUGUGUCGCGGUUGAAGCGCAUCGCGCGAUCAUAGCAACAACGAUAGAACCUUGUCGUCAAGCAUUAUAACAAAUCACGCUCCGCGAAAAUUGAAUCGCGAGGCAUGUGCGGCCAUGAUGCGAUCGUUAUCAUGCAGAAGAAAUGAUAAAUACCGAAAAUUAUUCACUUUUUGUGCAUUCUUGUUGCUCUAAUAUCAAGAUAUGCCAAUGAAUGUAUUGUUUUUAAUCAUGAGUUCUGUUUAUUGGUUCAUAAGUGGUUUAAAUCCAAGUUCAAAUCAUGAUGAAUAAAAUUUAUCGCGACUUGUAACAUAAUCCGAUAACGUGUGAUCCCAUGAUAAAGAGUGCAUCAGAUGCUUGGAUUGCCUGUGAUCCCAUGAUACAAGCACGGGGCGAAGGUGUCGGCAUCAUGCUACUGCAAGAGCAAAGGCAAUCUUGGAUUGUUCGUAUCCUGUAUCAUUUGUCACUAGAAGUGAUUUUCUUCCAUCCUUGUCUGGCAGAAUAGCCCGAACGAUUUCAAAUUAUGACCACUAAUUCACAACUAGUCGAUCAACUUACAGUUAAAAUUUGAGAACACAGAUCGAAAAACGAGUGUUAAUUUCGGUGACAUACAAUGCACAUGAUUGGAGCGUGGGAUAUCACAGAAGUUUACAUGACAUAUCAUGUAAAAGUCAUAAAAUAUCAUGUAAACUUCCAUUACAUGUCGUGUAAUUCAGCAUGGCUCUGAGUUUUUACAUGUAAUAGGGUAUCGGGAUGCUUCGUUGGCAUAGUCCCCUCGUUCGGCCUAUCUCAACGUAAACCAAAAACUCAAACAAACACGCAUAACUGGAUAUCGCCAAACAACUGUAACAUUUCGUUUCAAUUUUAGCACGUUGGAACAUUAAAAUUAAAUGAAAAUGUCACUUUGUUUAGCCUUUGCAGACGCCAUGAUUCCUCGGCUUAGUGGACAGUCUAUACACAUUAUCAUAAAUGGCAUGAUUCUGGAACAUUUCGAAAUGACUUUUCAAUAACUGAACAUUUGAUGUGACAGCCAAAGACGCUAUUUUGAACUUGUGUAUUUGUUUUCAACGAAUAAUAACUAUUUUACAAAUUGAAUGUGGGCCGAAUAUUGAGGACAUUUUUUUUACUAUAUACCCAAAUCUUGGCCCACCCGUAAAGUGACGUCAAAAACACCGAUAAAAAAGACGUAAACAACAUUUCUUGCGUAAGAACCAGAAAGAACGAACAGUAAGAAAGAUUUUGUGAGCUGUGACUGUAAAAAAUAUAACACAAUAAUAGGGUUGCGUUGUUUUCAUUACUAAAUUAAGAAAGAACUUUAGUUUAAGUGCUUUAUUUAUAGUUUUUUGAAAAUUUGGCUCCGAAAAUGUAAUUUAAGGGUAAGAUUGGUGAACAGAGAGAACUUCAGCAGAAAUAUUGAAAAAAAAAAUGAGAUAAUUAGUGGUUCUAGUGCAUGGAAAGCAAUAGGCCAACGUUGUAUCCACUAAUAGGCCAAUUUUUGUACCAUAGACCAACGUUGCAUACCAUCGCAUCGAAUCUUUUCAACUUAAUUAAGUGAAUUCUUGAAUAUUUACUUUAGUUUACUUCCAAUUGGUGAAAUAUGCAUUUACCUAGAGUGUGGAAUAGGGUCAACCUCAACAUAGUAUUUCUAGUGCUAUUAAAUCAUGAGUUAUGGUCAAAAUUGCCAAGGCGGCUUGCAAAUUAGGCCAAGGAAUGGUACAUAUACCCUAUAACACAAAUUUACAUGAUAUAUCAUGUAAACCAUCAUAAAAUUAAGUUUACAUGACUAAAAUGAAGUUUACAUGACGUGUAAAUCCAAUUAUUUUUAUCUGUGAAUAUUUGAUGCACUUCUCAAAAUGUUACAGCUAGUUGAACAUUUUUUGAGAAGUGAACAUUUUGCCUGUCCCGAUCAUUUUGUCUAUCCCCUGUAUAUCGAUAUUUUAUGGAAUGACUGUGUGUGUAUAUAGAUUUGAUGUUUAGUGGGUUUUCCAAGGAAUCUACGACAUUCGUUUUCUAAUCGCGAUUUUCGUGAAAUCUGUGACGUUGCAAUUCUUGCAACCCUACAAUCGUCAUCCAGCCCUACCUUUAAAUUUUCCAGGCAUAUAAAAUCACGUAAGAAUCGACAAGUACAAAAUUUAUGAUAAAUGUCACCUGCUGAAGUACUGAUAAGCGACUGAUAAAGGGAUAAUAAUACUGCUAUUACGUAGAUAUAUUACGACAAUUCAAGCUCAAAGAAGAUAAGCGAUAAGCUACCGGGAAGCCACUUCAGAUUUAAACUGUCAUUGAUACUAUCAUUGGUCUUUACGGCACACAAUCCUAUCCAUUCUUUCCGGCAACCAGUCUACACCGGUUGAUUUUCGGUCGGCCUAGGUAUAAUAAACAUACACGCGAAUCGUACGACGAUAGGUGUAAAUAUCAAAAACCACGAUAAUGACGAAGACCGCGAGAACGGAAUGGUCGGACGGAACAAUGUCCAGCGCCCAGCGCAGCGGCGGCACAACGACACGCAUCCAUCCAGAAAAAGAAGUGCGACAGCGAUGACGAUGACCGGUACAACGCCGCGGCCGGUGAGUGAGCUUGUGGGAAGACCAAAAAAGCCUACAAACACCACACAGAGAUGACAACAAAACUGAAAAAAAAAAAUCGGACACGUUGCAGGAAAGUAGCGCUGUUUAUAAGGGGGGACGCCCGGCCGGUGGAGCUUGCUUGAUUGGUUGGGUGGUGGUAGUUCUACAUAUUCUCGCGCCCGAUGUGAAGAUAGUUUGUCGCUCCGGCGCAGUGGUUCCCGAACGUUGUCAUUCGGUUCUGAUCAUGUUGAUCUGUUCUUAUGUGUAUUGGAGAAGCAUUGAAACUUUUGAUCAAUUACGAAAAUUGAAUGCUCUUCUUCUUCUUCUUCUUGGCGUAACGUCCCCAUUGCACUGGAACAAAGCCUGCUCCUCAGCUUAGUGUUCUAUGGGCACUCUCACAGUUAUAAACACUCAGAGCUUGCUCAGCCAAUGACCAUUUUGUAUGUGAGACAGGCACGAAAAGACUCUAUAUCUAAGAAAGUCGAAGAUCUUUCCGCAAUGAAAAGUUCCUGGACCCACCGGGAAUCGAAUCCGUCAUCGUCAGCAUGGUCUUGCUGUACAGUGUAUCUGUUGGCACGAAGUAAAGCCUUGAAUUAUGUUGUUAAUAAAUAAGUCAUUAGUUGUUCAAACCCGUAACUGAGUAGACGUUCAUUUCACUGUGCUAAGAGGUUAUUGGCCCAGCCUUAACAACCGUUACUCGGGAAAGUCAACAUAAGUGAAAAUUUUGUUUCGUGAACUCGGAACAUUUACCAAUCAUGAGUCGUGAAGGUGGAGAUGGUUCCAGAGGAGUUCCGGCGAAUAACGGACCAAGGAUCAAUUCGAGCAGCGUAUCUUUGCCGAUUGGAGAGAGGCUUCACGGAAGAGAGAAUUAUAGUUCCUGGUCGUUCGCUAUGAAGAUGGUGCUGAUAAGAGAAGGGAGCUGGAGUGCCGUGGAUGUAGCCGAAGGUGCAGCCGUGAAUCAAGAAGUUUCGUUGAGAGCCCUUGUCACAAUAUGACUUAGUAUUGAUCCAAUCAACUAUAACUUAGUUCAAGAAGCUAAAACAGCACAGGAAGCCUGGAUGAACCUCAAGAAUGCAUUCCAGGACAGCGGGAUGACCCGCCGCAUGGGUCUGCUGCGGAAGCUAACAGGUAUUCGUCUGGUCGAGUGCAGAUCUGUGGAAGAAUACGUAAAUGAAAUAAUGUCCACAAGUCAUAAGCUAGCGGAGGUUGGCUUCAAAGUGGAUGAUACAUGGCUGGCCAGUCUGCUGCUUAUGGGCCUUCCAGAGAAUUACGAGCCCAUGAUAAUGGGUCUGGAGGCUUGUGGCACGAAGAUUACGGCGGAUACAGUGAAGUCAAAAAUACUUCAAGACGUCAAAGUUGCAAGUGAUCCGAAGACAUCUAGUUCCGAUGGAGCGUUUAUCAGUCAUCAGAAGAAGUCAUCGAAGCACAAAUCGAGCGUGCAGUGCUUCUAGUGUAAGCGGCUCGGACAUUUCGCGUCAGAAUGCCAGCAAACGGUUGGCGGAUCGGAAAAUAAUCGACAGAAGUUUUCGCGGCUGAAGUUCUCGAAGAAUACGGCAUUCAGUGUUACAACGUCAUCAACCAACAGCGAGCAGUGGAUAUUCGAUUCUGGAGCGACAACUCACAUGUACCGUGACCUGCCUGUUUUGGAGAACCGUAGGAAGACAUCACAAACCGUAACUGUUGCAAACGAUGCCGAAGUCCCAGUAGUUGCCGUUGGAGAUGUGAAGCUAGAAGCUGACGUUGAAGGUAUUUCUUGCUCAGUUGUCUAAUGCUCUCUGUGUUCCAGAGCUUUCCAUAAAUCUACUGUCCAUAAGUCAAAUUUGUAAGAAAGGCCAUCGAGUUAUCUUUACGAGCGAUGCAUGUGAAGUCUACAAUGUUCAAUCCGGAUAGAUGGUUGCUGUAGGAUUCCAGAAAAAUGGCCUCUAUCAACUGAAGUUGACCAGCAAUCAAACUGCAUGUGCUGCCGGAUAUGACGGAAUUAUGGCAUCGACGAUUGGGGCAUAUGAACUACAGAAGCAUGGCGUUGUUGCGGACCAUGGCAACGGGCGCUGAUUUUGCAAUGACGAAGACUAAACCAUGUGUGCCGUGCAUCGAAGGUAAGCACCAGAGGUUACCAUUUAAAUCCAAGGGACCAAGGUCAACGGUGUAGUAUCAGGUGGACGUGCUCCGAAUGAGAUACUACUGAGUACCUACUGCAUAUGUAUAUGUAUAGAGUAAGCCAGCGAACGAUCUGAAUAAAUAAUAUAUUGUUGAGUUGUUUCGUGACUAUUAGUAAUCCUACAUUAUAGAGAUCUGCGGAGGCGGCCAUUGUGAGCCAAUCGUGCAGAGAGAACUGUCAAAGUGUGAGCCAAAUGAACAUGCUUAUCGUUCGUAGGAAUGCGUCGUUUGAACGGUAUUGCAAUCGGAACUAAAUAAAGAAAAAUUAUUUAUUUUUAAUAUCGAGAAAUUGGCGGCAUAUGUAUGUUUAGUAAAAGAUAAAAAUUUAGCAAUUCUGCUUUCAAAAGCUCAUGCUUAUGACGACACUUUUGUUGCUGAACUUGUCGAAAAAACUUCCAUUGCUGCUUCUUGCUUCACUUCUGCCGAUAUGAUUAGCGUAACACUUUUGCAAUGAAUUUCAGAUUUCUUUGAUUGCUCCGCUAUUUCAACAAAAUUUUGGGAAAAAAAUUCUACCAUAGUUAGAAAAUGUAAACAAAGCAACUUGAACCACAACGAAGUCACGCACAAAGUUUGAACAUCUAGCUUUGUAGCAAGUGUUGGCAGCUGUUGUAAACAAAACAAACAGUGUUGCCGAAUCGACGUAUGUAACUUCCGCUCAUCUCUAUGUAGAGGAUUUCUAGUGACUAUCGGCCUAACCAGAUGUGUUCUGUUAUUGCCCGUAUCCUCCGUGAUGAUUCCCCACCUCUUCGAUCUCCCAUGGUUUGGGAGAUGUUACAGUGGCGUACGAGGAUGAAGAUUUUUAUGAUUCGUAUGAAAAGUGUUUUGUUUUGCGUGCAUAAUCGUGUAGUGUGAUAAAUUUGUGAACCUCGAUGUGGCAUUUUGCUUUAUUUGGCUAUGAUUUGUUUUGUGUUUUUAUGUUUUUUUGUCCUUUGUGACAUUUUUCAUAACCAAAACAAUAGCCAAUUGUUAUUUGGUGAUGAUGAGUAGCAUUCAUCUUUCAUUCAGAGAUUUUCAUGUUUUAAUGCGCCCUUGGAUAAAAUCCUUUUUGCGUGGGUAGUUUUUAUACAGGGGAUAGACAAAAUGAUCGGGACAGGCAAAAUUUUCACUAUUCAAAAAAUGUUCAACUAGCUGUAACUUUUGGAAAAGUGCAUCAAAUAUUCUCAAUUUUUUACUGUAAGUUCUUCAACUAGUUGUGUAUCAGUGGACAAAAUUUGGAAAAGAUCGGACAAUUCUUCACGAAGUUAUAAAGAUUUUUGAAAAAGAUAAAAUUAUCCGAUAGCCAACUUUGAGCUGUUAUAUCUCCGGAUUCAAUGAACCGAUUGCAAUGAAAUUUUGGCAAUUCACGACUUAUAUAAUGAACUCUGAAAAACAUUUGACUUAACUUGAAUUUUUUAACAAGUGAAAAAGUUAUAGUGAUUUUAUUUUUUUCGCGAUUUUUUAGUAAAUUGGUCUAUUUUUAACAUGCAUCCCAUUACUUUUUCAACUUAUUGGCGGCUAUAUUGUUACUUUCCUUCAAAACGCAUUUAUAUAUAAGUCAAUUAGAGGGAAACUAAAUGAACUAUAAUUUGCAUCUUGAAUUUUGAAACGAUGUUGAUGUUUUGGAUAAUUUGGUGUUUUAUUAGAAAAAUAAUCUAAUCGUUAUAAUUUUCUUCCGUGUUAAGAAUAUUAAGUUAAGUCAAUGGUUUUUCAUAGCUCAUUAUAUAAGACAUAAAUGGUCAAAAUUUCAUUGCAUUCGGUUCAUUGGAUCCGGAGAUAUAACAGCUCAAAGUUGGCUAUCGGAUAAUUUUACCUUUUUCAAAAAUCUUAAUAACUUCGUGAAAAAUUGUCCGAUCUUUUCCAAAUUCUGUCCACUGAUACACAAUUAGUUGAAGAACUUACAGUAAAAAAUUGAGAAUAUUUGAUGCACUUUUCGAAAAGUUACAGCUAGUUGAACAUUUUUUGAAAAGUGAAAAUUUUGCCUGUCCCGAUCAUUUUGUCUAUCCCCUGUAUGUGACUACUUUUUCAUGAAUCUCUGUUUUAUCACCGUAUGUUUCGAGGCGCAAUUUUUGCUACCGUCACUAUUGAAAUGAUUUGGCGACAACGGUUACACGAAUCAGGAGGACAAUGGUGCAAGAUGGCUGAAAAACAGACAAUGGCCAGCACAUCUCUAUACUAGACAUGUUUAUUCAUUAUACGAUUGCACUUUAAGUUGUUGUGAAGCUUGCCGAUGACUAUUUCGUUGAUUUUUUCGAGAGGAAAAUAGCUAACUUUGCUUGGCAUGGAUGAAGCAGUAAUUUCAUCAAAAGAAGGGAAGGAUGGAGAAAGCAGUCGGUCGCAAGGAAAGAAGUGCUUCAGUGAUAGCCCGGAAAAAAAUAAACGAAGUUGAACCAUAUAAUAAUAGUGGCAUAAGUGAUUAUUUAAUAAGUUGUUCCCUCAACAGUUUUUCUCUUUAAUAGAUUGACGCUGUGAAUUAUAAUAUAUUUUCCAAUGUAUUGUAUAAUUGUAUAAUAACUCAGGAGAAUAAUCUGCAUGUUGUAUUUUAUAAUUCAUAUAAUACUACCUACAAAUAGUAGGCUUCAGAAAUAAAAAUGUUAUACGGUGCAUUCGAAUUCUAAUGGGUGAAGGAGUUGUAGUAUCAGGUGGACGUGCUCCGAAUGAGAUACUACUGAGUACCUACUGCAUAUGUAUAUGUAUAGAGUAAGCCAGCGAACGAUCUGAAUAAAUAAUAUAUUGUUGAGUUGUUUCGUGACUAUCGGCCUAA